GCCCUCUUAGCUCAGUGGUAGAGCGCGUCACUCGUACUUUCUGUACAUGACGAGGUCAGUCGUUCAAGUCGGCUAGGGGGCA